UACGUAGGGUGCAAGCGUUAAUCGGAAUUACUGGGCGUAAAGCGUGCGCAGGCGGUUUUGUAAGUCUGUCGUGAAAUCCCCGGGCUUAACCUGGGAAUGGCGAUGGAGACUGCAAGGCUAGAGUUUGGCAGAGGGGGUAGGAUUCCACGUGUAGCAGUGAAAUGCGUAGAGAUGUGGAGGAACACCGAUGGCGAAGGCAGCCCCCUGGGUCAAAACUGACGCUCAUGCACGAAAGCGUGGGGAGCAAACAGG
rnacentral:rRNA from 1 species